rnacentral:rRNA from 1 species
UACAGAGGGAGCAAGCGUUAUCCGGAAUGAUUGGGCCCAUAGAGUCUGUAGGUGGUUUUUUAAGUCUACUGUUAAAUACGUUGGCUCAACCAACGGCGGGCAUUGGAGUACUAAUAAACUAGAGUAGGGUAGAGGUAAAGGGAAUCCCUAGUGUAACAGUGAAAUGUGUAGAUAUUAGGGAGAACACCAGCGGCGAAGGCGCUUUACUGGGCCCCAACUGACACUGAGAGACGAAAGCUAGACCAGCGAAUAGGAUUAGAUACCCUAGUAGUUCUAGCUGUAAACGAUGGAAACUAAGAGGGGGUAUACCCCCUACUGUAGCUAACGCGUUAAGUUUCCCGCCUGGGGAGUAUGCUCGCAAGAGUGAAACUCAAAGGAAUUGACGGGAGUCCACACAAUAGGUGGAUUAUGCGGUUUAAUUUGAUGCAACGCAAAGAACCUUACCAGGGUUUGACAUGUCUCGUAUUUUUCAGAAAUGGAAAAGUGUCUCCCCUUUCAAAAAGGGAGAAACGAGAACACAGGUGGUGCAUGGCUGUCGUCAGCUCGUGCGUUGACGUGUAUGGUUAAGUCCUGCAACGAGCGCAACCCUCGUCUUUAGUUACUUUUCAAGUUCUCUAAAGAGACUGCGCGCGCAAGCGCUAGGAAGGUGAGGAUGACGUCAAGUCAGCAUGCCCCUUAUACCCUGGGCGACACGCGUAAUACAAUGGUUGAGACAAUAAGAAGCUACCCCGCAAGGGCAAGCCAAUCUGCUAAACUCAACCCUAGUUCGGAUUGUAGGCUGCAACUCGCCUACAUGAAGCCGGAAUCUAUGGUAAUCGCCAGUCAGCCAUAUGGCGGUGAAUACGUUCCUGGACUCC